rnacentral:lncRNA from 1 species
GCGCUUGCAAGGCAGGCGCCUGAACCACUGAGCUAAAUCCCCGGCCCUGGCUUUUUUUUUUUUUUUUUUGAGACAGAGUCCCACUAUACAGGCCAAGCUGAACUUGAUCUUGCUAUGUAGCCCAGGAUGGCCUCAAACUCACCUGCCUCAGCCUCAUAGGUACGGGAAUUUCAGGAAGGAAGCCUCAGGUCCAGACAAAAGAGAAGAUUUGAGCGUGGGAUGGUGAUGGACGCCUACAAUCCCAGCUCCGUGGGAGCCAGAAAGUUGUCUGCAGGAGACUAGAAUCUUGAAGCGCAAGCCCCCAAUCUGGAUCCAACUACACCUUAAUAGGCUGCCCCAGAAGUCGCACAUUUCCAGAAAGAACAACUUCUCCCUUGCUUUUUAGCUGUGUGAACCUACACAUCUCUGAACCUGUUUCCUGUUGUAUCAAACCGUGCAGUAAAGUUUACUCCACAGGGGUACUGUGGGGACGAGAGCUAAGGCCCGAAAACCCCUUAACGAGGUUUGAUGCCGGCUGAACGUUCAAUCAGUCAUACUUAUUAUUUAUAUUAUGAUUGUUCUUAGUCUAACGUAUCUAGCUCAGUGAUUGGCAGACAAUGGGUACUGAAGGUGGCUAUAACUAUCACUGCCUAAAAACUCUAGAGCACAGAGCCUGGCAUUUAGCAGGUGCAGAAUAAAUGGUAGACAGCUUUUUUUUUUUUUAACCUAAGGACAAAAAAAGCAUAUUUUCAACCCCAACGUCUCUGUGAAGUUACGGUACUCGUUUUUGCUCGGCAACAGGCUCCUCUUACGUAAUCCUUCUCGGCCAAUGAGCAGAAAGGUGGGUGGAGUUUUAUCCGGCAGCCAAUAGCAGCCCUCAGCGGUGCGUAGGGUAGGCCCAGCAGGUUUGCAGCCUUGCUACUGAAGCGAAACCAGGCGGCAGUUCGAGGGGCGUGGAGUGUCUCCAAAUUCCCCAGCCUCUGCCCGUCAACCGCGUUCUGAUUGGUGCGGACCUUGGCGACUCACCCUCCGCCCGUCCCUCCCCUCCCCGCCCGGCUCCGCAGGAAGGGG